GUGACGUCACUGAUCGGCUCUGGCUAUGACUUCAUGUAACUUGGAGUCGGAUCUCUCAAUGUCUCUAUGAACGGCAGUAGAAACGCACGGACGGAAAAACGCUCGGAAGCGGAAUUUCAACGUAACUUUGACUGAUAAGUAGACAAAUCGGAGGCAUUAUCCUGGAAGUUUUCUGACAUCGAGUACAUUGAUUUUGCCGUACACUCUUUUAGGUUCUGUCAAACUUUGAUUGUGUUUUCAAUAUAUUGAGACUAAAACCUUUAGACGCAACGCAACAGGGGUAUAGCGUAACACGUUGAUCUCAGUUUUGUUGAAGUACGGUAGCCAGUAUCAGUAAUUUAAGAUGAUUUACCAAAAACUGCUGGUACUUCUUUCGUUUCUGGUGCUCAUUAUACAUUUCAAUGCGCAGACAGAUGCCAUUCUUUUGGAUCCAGAUGUGCCGCAGAGGUUAUGCUCCAAAGAUAUACACAGAGCUUUUCAAAUGAGCUGUUUGGUGAGCAAGAGGCGAAAACGUUCGAUUGAUUCAGAUUCGGAGUACUUCGUACGAAAAGCACGUUUCUCACAGUUUCGGGAAUGCUGUUUUCGGGAGUGUACGCUGCGACAGCUAUCCUCACUUUGCUGAGCGAAGUGAGCGACGUCAUGGCUUGACGUCAUGCCCUGUACACACCGGGGUGGGAUCAAAUCCCUUUUCAGAAUGGACAUGGGGGUGCAAGGUUCGAUUUCUCUGCGUGCCUUUUGUUGGAUGGGAGAUCUACUGGUAUCUAGUUGACCUGCUCGCAGGAUUAUUCAAGUUUUGCAGAAGACGAGGCCAAUAAAUAGAUGCAAAAAUUUAGACACCAAAAACUAUUCGCUGGCUUUGCUUAAUGUCAUACUAAUUCCUUACAUCGAGAUGAUUUUUUGUCGUCAAAACGAAUUAUAAUCACGUACAAGGAUAUUGAUUAACUCAACCAUUUUAAAGUAAGGACUGAUUCCGUCACAGAUAGGCUAAUUGAGGACGGAAGUCAUUAGGAUUCCGUCAUUUUUUUGACAUCCAUGAAGUCAUAGAGGACGGGCAAUUUGACACAGGCAUCAGUUCGUAGAACAUAUCCGCCAUGUGGCGGACAAGUGAGGUCCUGGUUGGCUCAGUCUUACAUGAAAAAGAACAGUGAAACCAUUGUCAGUACGUCAAAGCUGGGUACCAGUGUGAUUGCAGGUUGUAAAUAAAGUUCAUGAAAAACUA